AUUGAACGCUGGCGGCAUGCUUUACACAUGCAAGUCGAACGGCAGCGCGGGGCAACCUGGCGGCGAGUGGCGAACGGGUGAGUAAUAUAUCGGAACGUACCCAAGAGUGGGGGAUAACGUAGCGAAAGUUACGCUAAUACCGCAUACGAUCCAUGGAUGAAAGUGGGGGAUUCGCAAGAACCUCAUGCUCCUGGAGCGGCCGAUAUCUGAUUAGCUAGUUGGUGAGGUAAAGGCUCACCAAGGCGACGAUCAGUAGCUGGUCUGAGAGGACGACCAGCCACACUGGGGCUGAGACACGGCCCAGACUCCUGCGGGAGGCAGCAGUGGGGAAUUUUGGACAAUGGGCGCAAGCCUGAUCCAGCAAUGCCGCGUGAGUGAAGAAGGCCUUCGGGUUGUAAAGCUCUUUUGUCAGGGAAGAAACGGUUGGGGCUAAUAUCCCCGGCUAAUGACGGUACCUGAAGAAUAAGCACCGGCUAACUACGUGCCAGCAGCCGCGGUAAUACGUAGGGUGCAAGCGUUAAUCGGAAUUACUGGGCGUAAAGCGUGCGCAGGCGGUUUUGUAAGUCUGUCGUGAAAGCCCCGGGCUCAACCUGGGAAUUGCGAUGGAGACUGCAAGGCUUGAAUCUGGCAGAGGGGGGUAGAAUUCCACGUGUAGCAGUGAAAUGCGUAGAGAUGUGGAGGAACACCGAUGGCGAAGGCAGCCCCCUGGGUCAAGAUUGACGCUCAUGCACGAAAGCGUGGGGAGCAAACAGGAUUAGAUACCCUGGUAGUCCACGCCCUAAACGAUGUCUACUAGUUGUCGGGUCUUAAUUGACUUGGUAACGCAGCUAACGCGUGAAGUAGACCGCCUGGGGAGUACGGUCGCAAGAUUAAAACUCAAAGGAAUUGACGGGGACCCGCACAAGCGGUGGAUGAUGUGGAUUAAUUCGAUGCAACGCGAAAAACCUUACCUACCCUUGACAUGUCAGGAACCUCCGAGAGAUUGGAGGGUGCCCGAAAGGGAACCUGAACACAGGUGCUGCAUGGCUGUCGUCAGCUCGUGUCGUGAGAUGUUGGGUUAAGUCCCGCAACGAGCGCAACCCUUGUCAUUAGUUGCUACGAAAGGGCACUCUAAUGAGACUGCCGGUGACAAACCGGAGGAAGGUGGGGAUGACGUCAAGUCCUCAUGGCCCUUAUGGGUAGGGCUUCACACGUCAUACAAUGGUACAUACAGAGGGCCGCCAACCCGCGAGGGGGAGCUAAUCCCAGAAAGUGUAUCGUAGUCCGGAUCGCAGUCUGCAACUCGACUGCGUGAAGUUGGAAUCGCUAGUAAUCGCGGAUCAGCAUGUCGCGGUGAAUACGUUCCCGGGUCU
rnacentral:rRNA from 1 species